rnacentral:rRNA from 1 species
GAUGUAGCAAUACAUCUAGUGGCGAACGGGUGAGUAACGCGUGGAUGAUCUACCUACGAGAUGGGGAUAACUAUUAGAAAUAGUAGCUAAUACCGAAUAAAGUCAAUCAAUUUGUUAAUUGAUGAAAGGAAGCCUUUAAAGCUUCGCUUGUAGAUGAGUCUGCGUCUUAUUAGCUAGUUGGUAGGGUAAAUGCCUACCAAGGCGAUGAUAAGUAACCGGCCUGAGAGGGUGAACGGUCACACUGGAACUGAGAUACGGUCCAGACUCCUACGGGAGGCAGCAGCUAAGAAUCUUCCGCAAUGGGCGAAAGCCUGACGGAGCGACACUGCGUGAAUGAAGAAGGUCGAAAGAUUGUAAAAUUCUUUUAUAAAUGAGGAAUAAGCUUUGUAGG